UACGGAGGGUGCGAGCGUUGUCCGGAAUCACUGGGCGUAAAGGGCGCGUAGGCGGCCCUGGCAGUCGGUGGUGAAAGCCCGUGGCUCAACUGCGGGUCGGCCACCGAUACUCCAGGGCUCGAGUUUGGUAGAGGCAGAUGGAAUUCCGGGUGUAGCGGUGGAAUGCGUAGAGAUCCGGAAGAACACCGGUGGCGAAGGCGGUCUGCUGGGCCAAGACUGACGCUGAGGCGCGA
rnacentral:rRNA from 1 species